rnacentral:lncRNA from 1 species
GUCCGUGGGGCGCUGUGCGUCUCCGAGAACGAAGCGGCCUCCGGGUUCGUGUGCUCCGAGCCCGAGUACUGUUUGCGGCCGUCGUCCCGUCCUGGAGCAGGAGUGAGGAAGCGCCUCUCACUCCCCCGCGAACCCGCAGAACAGGCCGCCGGCGCUAUGGAGACCGGCGGAGCUUCCCGCUCCUUCACCAAGGGGCCCUGACGCGCAGUUGAAAGCGCGGAUUUUGCCGGGCGCGGCGGCUGCGUCCGGAGUCCCAGCGCCUUGGGAGGCGAGGCGGGAGGAUCCCCACGGCCCGGGAGCUCGAGACCAGCCCGGGCAAAUAUUUUGAAAGUCAUGGUAAAAGCCGCAAUUACUUUUGCACCAACCUAAUAGUGAGACCCUGUCUCGAAAAAGGGAAGGAGGAUUUUACUGUAUGUAAUUUAGAUGUUUUAUUUAUUUUUUGAUGCGGUGUCUUGCUCUGUCGCCCAGGCUGAAGUGCAGUGGCGCGAUCUCGGCUCACUGCAGCCUCCGCCUCCUGGGCUCAAGCGAUUCUCCUGCCUCAGCCUCCCAAGUAGCUGGGAUUACAGGUGCCCACCACCACGCCUGGCUAAUUUUUGCAUGUUUAGUAGAGACGGGGUUUCCUCAUGUUGGCCAGACUGGUCUCGAAUUCUUGAUGUCAAGUGAUCCACCAGCCUCGGCCUCCCAAAGUGCUGGGAUUACAGGCGUGAGCCACCGCGCCCCGCCUAAUUUAGAUAUUAUUAAAUGAAAAUGAAAGACCUGAAAAAUAUAAUUGAUAUCCUUGGUUAAAAACAUAAUUGAUCUGAGCGAGGUGGCUCAGGUCUGUAGUCUCAGCAACUCUGGAGCGUGAGGGGUGAUGGUAGUUUCAGUCCGGGAGUUCGAGGCUGCCAUGAGCGUGAUCUCGCCUGUGAAUAGCCACUGCACGCCAGCCUGACCAACAUAGCAAGACCCCAUCUCUUAAAAAAUAUCAUUGGAUGGUACUAAUGGUUGGUUGGGCACUACAGAAGAAAGGGUCAGUAAUUUUGAAGAUGGAUGAAAUGGAAAUUCAAACCACGAUGAGAUGCUGCUUGAAAUCCACCAGAAUGGCUAAAAUUUAAAAAUUGGCAAUAUCAAAUUUUGCUGGCAAGAGCAAACACUGAGUUAACCACCUUGGAAAAUAGUGAGGCAGUUUCUUUCAAAGUUAAACGUACACCUCUGCUGUAUUCUGAGUGUCUGUCCCCAGCGUUCGUAUGUUGAAACCCUAACCCCCCUUGGCCGGGCGUGGUGGCUCACGCCUGUAAUCCCAGCACUUUGGGAGGCCGAGGCGGGCAGAUCACGAGGUCAGGAGAUCGAGACCAUCCUGGCUAACACGGUGAAACCCAGUCUCUACUAAAAAAUACAAAAAAUUAGCCGGGCAUGCUGGAAGGCACCUGUAGUCCCAGCUACUCGGGAGGCUGAGGCAAGAGAAUGGUGUGAACCCGGGAGGCGGAGCUUGCAGUGAGCCAAGAUCGCGCCACUGCACUCCAGCCUGGGUGACAGAGCGAGACUCUGUCUCAAAAAAAAAAAGAAACCCUAACCCCCAAGGUGAUGGUAUUAGGAUGUGGGGCUUGUGGGAGGUGAUAGGUCAUGGGACAGAGCCUUAUAUACUUCCCUUAGAAGAGGCCCAAGAAGGCUGGGCACGGUGGCUCACACCUGUAAUCCCAGCACUUUGGGAGGUCGAGACAGGAGGAUCGCUUGAGCCCAGGAGGUGGAGACCAGCCUGAGCAAUAUGGCGAGACGCUGUCUGUGCUAAAAAUUUAAAAAAUUAGCUGAACGUGGUGGCACACGCCUUGAGGAGGGAGGAUUACUUGAGCCUGGGAGGUCAAGGCUGCAGUGAGCGAAGAUUGCGCCAUUGCCCUCCAGCCUGGGAGAGAGAGACCCUGUCUCAAAAAUAAAUAAAUAAACAAGUACGUACAUACAUACAUAAAAAGGUAAUUAUGUAAGUCCUCGUUACGGAGCCUCCAUACAUGAAGGGCUUUAGAGCCGAUUUGUUAAAUGGUCAGCUGUAGUCAGCUGUUGACACCCAGCGUCCACUCUCCAUUAAGUUAUUAAGAGCUUUUUCUUAGUUACAGAAGCUCUCAGUGGGCUGUGGAGACGCUGCCGUCUCCUGAACACAUCCAGCGACCACAUGACUAAGCAAAGGCAGCGGAGAGUGGACGGACGGUGAUGGACGCGGCCACGGAGCCCAAGCGCCCACAAUGCGCAUUCCUGUCUUUUCUCUCCCCGCUCACCUCAGAGCGGGACGGAAGGUGGGACUGGGAGAGCUGUUCUCGGGCAGGUGGACGCUGUGGAUUAGCGGAGAGGGAAGGCACUUUCGUUCUCGGCACCGUGAGGCUGUCCUGGUCAAUCCUGUUUUCAUGCUUGAGGGUCUCUGGUGCAGCAGCUCCACCAGCCUUGACACCAGGACUUCUGUGGAAUCCAGGUAAGCAGCCAGGGUCCUGAUAGGGCCAUGCCCUCACCCCCAUGUAAUGCAUCCACUCCCAGUUAAAUGAGAAAGGAACAAUCACAGGAAAACAUGGAGAACAACUCCACUGUUCAGAAGCCAACCCUAUAUUAGCUACUGUUUAGGUAGAAAUGAAAAACUUUGAGACGUAAACUCCUGCAGGUAGAAGUAGAUUUCCGGUGAAUGAACAAAAUGAAGCUUAUUAGAAUCAAUGGCCUCUUCUGAGAGCCGUUCUGAAUUUUUUUUUUUUUGAGACGGAGUCUUGCUAUGUCGCCCAGGCUGGAGUGCAGUGGCGCGAUCUCGGCUCACUGCAAGCUCCGCCUUCCGGGUUCACGCCAUUCUCCUGCCUCAGCCUCCCCAGUAGCUGGGACUACAGGCGCCCGCCACCACGCCCGGCUAAUUUUUUGUAUUUUUAGUAGAGACGGGGUUUCACCGCGUUAGCCAGGAUGGUCUUGAUCUCCUGACCUCAUGAUCCGCCCACCUCGGCCUCCCAAAGUGCUGGGAUUACAGUCGUGAGCCACUGCGCCCAGCCCUGAUUUUAUUCCUAGUUGUAAUUUAACUUCUACUUCAUUUCUGAUCCGAGAUCACAAAGGGGCCAUGUGAGCCCCAGGGACUGAGCGGAAGCUGAAGUCUCACAGCUCGAGGAUUUACUCCCAACGUGCUGGGAAAAGCCCUAGAUGAGCAGGGAGUAGCUAAUUUCUUUUCUUCCCCUUCUUUUUCAAUAUUAAUUGGAUUUCCUUAAAGGCCGUGUGUCUAUUAAGUUUGUUAUCAAUGGCUAUUUAGCACUUGUAGAAACCCAGCCGUAUGUUACAUACAGUAGGGUCUAGUCAGGAAAACAGCCCAGGCCAAGUGGUUCAGCAGAGGAAAUGCAGGGGCAGGGACGGCAACCGCAGGACGCCAGAGGCCCUCAGGUGGAGAUAACGGCCCUGAGUGGAAACGUACAGGCUCCAGAACCUGGUGGGACCUGGGCUGAUGCAGGGGAAUGAGGGGUUUCAGGGGAGCUACGGCCGUGACCAUCAGACGCCCAGCUGCAGGGACAGGCAGGUGGCGGGGGGGGGGGGUCUGUUUUCUGGGUGAAGAUGGGGGCAUUUUUGAAAGCAUUGGGAAGAUACACUUGACGUAUCUAUCCAGUCUCCAGAAAUGCACGUUUAACGCUCAGAAGGAAAUCUUGCAACAAUUGAAGUGCUGUGGGAGGCUCCGCGAGCAGAGACAAGAUUGUCCUUCUCUGGGUUUCAGGGCAUUUAGACAUGACACUCAAAAAUAUUUCACUGUGGGCCGGGCGCGGUGGCUCAUGCCUGUAAUCCUAGCACUUUGGGAGGCAGAGGCAGGUGAAUCACCUGAGGUCAGGGGUUCAAGACCAGCCUGAACAAAAUGGUGAAACCCCAUCUCUACUGAAAAUACAAAAAUUAGCCGGGCGUGGUGGCGGGAGCCUGUAAGCCCAGCUACUCUGGAGGCUGAGGCAGGAGAGUCACUUGAACCUGGCAGGCAGAGGUUGCAGUGAGCUGAGAUCGAGACACUGCACUCCAGCCUGGGCAACAAGAGUGAAACUCCGUCUCAAAAUAUAUCUAUUUCAUGUGAAGGUGAAAUCCAACCCCGACGAUGUGUAGAAAAGCCCAGCAAUCUCCCGCAAAUCCCUGAGCCGAUGGCCGCGGAGAUGGGUGUCCUGGUGGUGCUCCCAGAGCUGCCUCCCCAGGUGCCACCAGGACAUGCUGCCUUUGGGGCUAGAGGUUCCCACCUCAUCAGUAACGAGGGCAUCGCCAGCCCUCAGCUGCCUUGGGCGCCCACAGUCGGCUUUCACGCCUCCCAGAGGUUCCGCCACCUUCAGCCCUCACUUCAGAUGGAGUCAGAACUUAGAGAUGUGGACACUGUGAAGGUCACCGGCAGCCAGUGGUGGAGCCGGGGGAAGGGUGUAGGACGCCCCCACACACAGGUGAAGAGGGCACUGCCAGGGGGAGGGCUGUAGGACACCCCCACACAGAGGUGAAGAGGGCACUGCCAGGAGGAGGGCUGUAGGACGCCCCCACACACAGGCGAGCAGAGGGCGUUGCAAACAUGGGCAGAGGCGGCCCAGCAGCAGUUUAACAUUGCCCUGUGUCCAGGAGAAAGGCCACUGCCCAAGUAUGCUCUUUAUCGCAACCUGCAACAUUCCCCCUCAGACGGAAGCUUGUGUAGAGGCCGCCAAGUUCCAACAAAUGCUCCCGACUGUAGACGCCACCAAGUGCUGGGACUUGCUCUCGUCAUCUGGGAAAGGCUUGGGGACGCUGCCAGCAACUGUCAUGUUUAUCCAUCAAGCUAGACGGCGGAAGUGCAGUCGUCUUAGUUUCCCCCAUUAUCUGCUUCCUGCUUUUUUUUUUUAUCUCGAGUCUCAACUUUGUUGCCCAGGCUGGAGUGCAACGGCACGAACUCCACUCACUGCAGCCUCCACCUCCCGGCUUCAACAAUUCUCCUGCCUCAGCUUCCUGAGUAGCUGGGAUUACAGGCGCCCAUCACCACGCCCGGCUAAUUUUUGUAUUUUUAGUAGAGAUGGGGUUUCACCAUGUUAGCCAGGCGGGUUUCAAAUUCCUGAUCUUGAGUGAUUCACCCGCCUCAGCCUCCC